rnacentral:rRNA from 1 species
AACGAACGCUGGCGGCAUGCCUAACACAUGCAAGUCGAACGAGACCUUCGGGUCUAGUGGCGCACGGGUGCGUAACGCGUGGGAACCUGCCCUUAGGUUCGGAAUAACUCCCCGAAAGGGGUGCUAAUACCGGCUAAUGUCUUCGGACCAAAGAUUUAUCGCCUUUGGAUGGGCCCGCGUUGGAUUAGCUAGUUGGUAGGGUAAAAGCCUACCAAGGCGACGAUCCAUAGCUGGUCUGAGAGGAUGAUCAGCCACACUGGGACUGAGACACGGCCCAGACUCCUACGGGAGGCAGCAGUGGGGAAUAUUGGACAAUGGGCGAAAGCCUGAUCCAGCAAUGCCGCGUGAGUGAUGAAGGCCUUAGGGUUGUAAAGCUAUUUUACCCGGGAUGAUAAUGACAGUACCGGGAGAAUAAGCUCCGGCUAACUCCGUG